AAAGGGAGACCUAAUUCCGGUAGGAGACGAAAAAAAAGUAGUCGCUACCAAGAAUCAAUCCCAAAAGGUCGGAGCGAGGCGAAAUUGGCUUUCAAACUAGGUUCUGGGUUCACACAAGACCUGAAUCAGGAACAAGGGCUAUUAGCUCAGGUGGUUAGAGCGCACCCCUGAUAAGGGUGAGGUCCCUGGUUCGAGUCCAGGAUGGCCCACCUGCACAGGUGGCAAAAACAAGAGAAGCUCCGAAUCAGCACCUUAUCUUACUGACAUAGUAAGAGAGAAUGCUGGCUCUGAGUAAAGAGUCCAGAGGAACCUUGAAAACUGCAUAGAGCUAGGUGAAAAAGCCAAAAAAGAAGACCGCAAG
rnacentral:tRNA from 1 species